CCUGCUGGCGAUGGUGUCAGCUGCCGGCCUGGGGAAGUGCCGCGUGCUUUAGUAAAAGAUCCUUUAAGCAAAGCAGGGACAUGCAGGAUUAAAGACGGUGCUCCAGUGCAAAUGCCAGGAGGUUUUUCCCGGGUAAUUCCCUCCUGGAAGCGCCGAGAGCAGAAACCUCCUUCUGGGCUGGGAAGCUCCCGGAGCAGCAAAUCCUCCGCGCUCCAGAGGCGCCUUCCCUCUGCCGGCGCCGCUCCGCUCGGCUUGGCCAGGGUUGGAUUUCCAAUGGUUUUCCAUAGCCAACCCCCGGGAAAAACCCUAGCUGCACCGUGAAUUCCCGGCCGGAGCCUCGCCGGCCCCGCGGCGCCCGCCGCUGCGCCGCUCCUCUGAUCGGCAGCCGCCAAGGAGGCUUUUGCUCCCGUUCAAAAUAAUUUAAAUAAAAAUGUUGCUACAAAGUGGAAUAA